rnacentral:rRNA from 1 species
UGCGAGACAGACACGUCGAGCAGGUACGAAAGUAGGUUCUAGUGAUCCGGUGGUUCUGUAUGGAAGGGCCAUCGCUCAACGGAUAAAAGGUACUCCGGGGAUAACAGGCUGAUACCGCCCAAGAGUUCACAUCGACGGCGGUGUUUGGCACCUCGAUGUCGGCUCAUCACAUCCUGGGGCUGAAGUCGGUCCCAAGGGUAUGGCUGUUCGCCAUUUAAAGUGGUACGCGAGCUGGGUUUAGAACGUCGUGAGACAGUUCGGUCCCUAUCUGCCGUGGGCGUUGGAGAUUUGAGAAGUGCUGCUCCUAGUACGAGAGGACCGGAGUGGACGCACCUCUGGUGUUCCGGUUGUCACGCCAGUGGCAUCGCCGGGUAGCUAUGUGCGGAAGGGAUAACCGCUGAAAGCAUCUAAGCGGGAAGCCUCCUUCAAGAUGAGAUCUCCCCGAGACCUAGAGUCUCCUAAAGGGUCCAGCAAGACUAGCUGGUUGAUAGGCACGGUGUGGAAGCGCUGCAAGGCGUUGAGCUAACGUGUACUAAUACCCCGUGAGGCUUGACCAUAUAACCCCAAGGGGUUUG